rnacentral:rRNA from 2 species
UACGGAGGGUGCAAGCGUUAUCCGGAUUUAUUGGGUUUAAAGGGUCCGUAGGCGGAUCUGUAAGUCAGUGGUGAAAUCUCACAGCUUAACUGUGAAACUGCCAUUGAUACUGCAGGUCUUGAGUGUUGUUGAAGUAGCUGGAAUAAGUAGUGUAGCGGUGAAAUGCAUAGAUAUUACUUAGAACACCAAUUGCGAAGGCAGGUUACUAAGCAACAACUGACGCUGAUGGACGAAAGCGUGGGGAGCGAACAGG